UACGUAGGGGGCUAGCGUUAUCCGGAAUUACUGGGCGUAAAGGGUGCGUAGGUGGUUUCUUAAGUCAGAUGUGAAAACUCAGGGCUCAACCCUGAGCCUGCAUUUGAAACUGUGUUUCUUGAGUGCUGGAGAGGCAAUCGGAAUUCCGUGUGUAGCGGUGAAAUGCGUAGAUAUACGGAGGAACACCAGUGGCGAAGGCAGAUUGCUGGACAGUAACUGACGCUGAGGCGCGAAAGCGUGGGGAGCAAACAGG
rnacentral:rRNA from 1 species